CCAAACUUGGUCAUUUAGAGGAAGUAAAAGUCGUAACAAGGUUUCCGUAGGUGAACCUGCGGAAGGAUCAUUAAUAAAUGUUUGAUGAUAUUAUGAAACUCUUUAUAAUAUCAAUCACAUCUGUUUUUGUGGUAACAUUGAAUUAAAAGUUUUUCUGCAAAGAAAGGCGAAAAGGGGUAAAUGUAAAAAGAUUUGAAGAUUUGUGAUAAAAAGCAAAGAUUCAGGCUUUUUCAACCCCUAAACUUUAACAAAAAACUCUUAUUAAUUUGACUGAAUUAAAAAUAUUAUCAAAUUUUUUUAUUUGAUUAAAAUUUUUAAAUAACUUUCAACAACGGAUCUCUUGGUUCUCGCAUCGAUGAAGAACGCAGC
rnacentral:misc_RNA from 1 species